UAUGACUCCGAAAUAACAACAGAGACCGAAGUACCACCUUCUAUAUAUGAGUCACAAACAGUACCAAUUGGAGCUGUACCGACUACAUCUGCGAAUAAAAGUUUGGAAUCAUUAAUAAAUGCAUCUACGGAACUAGAAGAAAUAUCUCUAAAUAUAGCAGAAGAAAGAAUACAAUCAAAUAAAUUAAAUACUUCCGAAUUAAUAGAGUUUGCAGAAGACGAGGAAGUUCUUCCUAGUUUCACAAAAUUACCUAGCGUUUUUGUAACAACAGAAACUUCUGAACAAUUCAAAGAAACUACAGAAUUUACAGAUGUGGUAGUAUCUGAUGUACAAAAUUUUUCCGAGUUUACUAACCAACCAACAGAGGUCGAAGUACCACCUUUUAUAUAUGACUCUAAAAUAACAACAGAGGUCGAAGUUCCACCUUUUAUAUAUGACUCCGAAAUAACAACAGAGACCGAAGUACCACCUUCUAUAUAUGAGUCACAAACAGUACCAAUUGGAGCUGUACCGACUACAUCUGCGAAUAAAAGUUUGGAAUCAUUAAUAAAUGCAUCUACGGAACUAGAAGAAAUAUCUCUAAAUAUAGCAGAAGAAAGAAUACAAUCAAAUAAAUUAAAUACUUCCGAAUUAAUAGAGUUUGCAGAAGACGAGGAAGUUCUUCCUAGUUUCACAAAAUUACCUAGCGUUUUUGUAACAACAGAAACUUCUGAACAAUUGAAAGAAACUACAGAAUUUACAGAUGUGGUAGUAUCUGAUGUACAAAAUGUUUCCGAGUUUACCAACCAACCAACAGAGGUCGAAGUACCACCUUUUAUAUAUGACUCUAAAAUAACAACAGAGGUCGAAGUACCACCUUUUGUAUAUGACUCCGAAAUAACAACAGAGACUGAAGUACCACCUUCUAUAUAUGAGUCACAAACAGUACCAAUUGGAGCUGUACCGACUACAUCUGCAAAUAAAAGUUUGGAAUCAUUAAUAGAUGCAUCUACGGAACUAGAAGAAAUAUCACUAAAUAUAACUGAAGCAACAGUACUAUCAAAUAAAUUAAAUACUUCCAAAUUAAUAGAGUUUGAAGAAAAAGAGGAAGUUCUUCCUAGUUUCACAAAAUUACCUAGCGUUUUUGUAACAACAGAAACGUCUGAACAAUUGAAAGAGACAACAGAAUUUACAAAUGUAGUAGUAUCUGAUGUACAAAAUUUUUCCGAGUUUAAAACUGAAACAAUAAGAACUUUAUUUGAAGUAUCUGAAAUAACAACAGAGAUGGAAGUGCUACCUGAACGUUAUACAUAUGGGUUACAAACAAUACCAACUGAAGUUACACUCAAUGAAUCUGCUAAUAAAAGUUUAGAAUCAUUAAUUACAUCUACAGAACUAGAAGAAGUUUCUUUAAAUUUAACUAGAGAAGUGGCACUAUCAAAAGAAUCAACCACUUUCAAAAUGGAGAUUGAAGAAGAAGAUGAAGACGUACUUCCUAUUUUGACCAAGCUAUCUAAUACUUUACUAACAACAAAAACAACUGAAAUAUUGGAGGAAACAACAGAAGCUCCAGCAUUAAAAAUAACAACAGAGAGGGUUUCACCUAAACCUGGUAUAUCCAAGUUACAACCAAUAGCAACUAAAUUUAUAGGUACUACAACAACUAAUAAAAAUCUAGAAUUCCUAAUACCUACAACAGAAGAACUAGAAGUAUCUUCAAAUAUAAGAGGACAAACAGUACUACCAAAGCAAUCAACCAUUUCCAAAAUAAUAGAGUUUUCAGAAGAAAAAGAAGUAAUUUCGAAUUUGACCAAGCUACCUAAUGUUUCUCUAAAAACAAGAACAGGUGAACAAUUGGAAGAAACAACAAUAAAUCUAAUAAUACAUGGUAUAAAUAACAUUUCCGAAUUUACACCUAAACCAGAAUCAAUGGAACUUACAUCCGUGAUAAAUGGAAAAACUUCUAGGAAAAAGACUUCUCCAAUAUUACUAAUAUCAGAGGAAGAAAGUACUACUUAUAGUUCAAAGAUAUCAACUGAAUUAGAGUUAUUUGAAGUCAACAAGGUGGCUGAAACCAUUCUUCCUGAAAAUAUUACAACAUAUAAAACGACCACAGAGUCUUCAACGCCAUUAAACAAUCCUACUAAAAAUGGCAAGAGUACCUGGAUUAUACAAAGUUCAAUAACUCCAGAACAAGACGAGGAUUGGGAAGAAGAAGAAACUAUUCCAAUUAGCGAUCUUUUAGGUAUUGAAACAACAACGGAAAUUGUAGAAAGCACUUCUUUGUUUACAACCAUUAAAUCCUAUAAAGAAAUAUCACUAGAAACGUUUAAAGAGCUUAGUAGUGCAACACAGAUAAAUGAAACAACAGAGUCAGAGUUUAAAACUACAUAUACAAAUGAAAAAUUCGGAGAACUGUCAACAAAAAACAAUCAAACUAUGGAAACAACAACAUACGAUUAUAAUUAUCAAAACAGGACAAUUACAAAAGUUUCUAAAACAGAAGAAGAAUCAACAACUUCGACAUCGUUAAGAAGUGUUUUAAAAACUAUUAGUUCCUCUUCUAGUAUUUCAGAUGAAACAGAAUCAAUACCACUAGUCCAAAAGACGUCUACAUUUAGCAAAGGUUUUGAAGGACUAACAGAAGCUCUAACCCUACGCAUAAAACAAGAAGAAGAUCAAAAUGCUACCACAAAACGGACAACCAAAACUAAUUUAGAAGAAUCUUCAAAGCCAAAUAUUGCUACUAAGAUGACAACAAAAUUGAAAAUUUCAGAUGAGAAAAAGUACUCAUCUCAAAGUAGCAGGACGUCAAAAUUUGAUACUCAAAUUGAAACAACUACAGCUGAAAAAACCAAGAUUUCAAACCAAUUUUAUUCAAAGUUUUCGAAACUUCGAUCCAGUACUUCAAGUCUGAAAAAUCAAGGAAUCGCUGUAACAAAACCAUCGCUUCAUGAAAAAACGAUAUCACCAAUAACUAAGAUGGAAACAACUACACAGUCACAAAAAUGGUUACAUUCAUCAGUUAUAGGCAACGUUAGCACAGAAACAGUAUCCAGAAAGUAUCAAACUAAACCAAAAAUAGUACCAGUAAUUCAGGAAUAUACUGAUGUCAAAAAGGAAACGUUAAAAUCGAGCAGAGAGGAAAAGAUGUACGAUACUUCACCAAUUUUAAGAUUAUUAACUACAUCAAAAACAUCUGACAGGUUAUUUACUAUGUCACAACCUAACUUGUUAAAUAAAUAUAAACCAAGUACUGAAAAAAUAUUAGAAGACCUACUAACCACCAAAAACAUAUCAGCUGUUACUGCUACCACACAACUAUUAUUAAUUUUUACCAAAGAACAAGAAAAUACAACAACUUUAAGAGAAACUGAAAGGUUACCCACAGAUAAACGGAAAACCACUAUAGAGAAGAAGGCUAGACAAAAAACUAAAACUAAAUUUAUACCAGAAGCAGAAAUAGAAACGGCAAAAUUACUAACUACACCUUUACUUGAAUGUGAAGAGUGUCCUAAAUCCGUAAUAAUAGAAACAGACAAUGGAAAAAGAUUUUUCACAGCAUCAUCUUUAAGUGCUCAAAAACUAACAAAAAUUACUCAUAAAGACAAAGAGACGAAAAAGAUAACAUCUGGUUUACCUCAUAUUUCUGAUCUCCAGAUUAGUAAAAAGCUCCAAGUUAGUACUCAAGCACCUAAGUUAACGCCUGCAAUACCUACGACAGUUCAGCAGAUACACGAAUAUGUGUCAAGAAAUCAUAAGCAAACAAUAGAGGAAGUACCAACAAUAUCUGCCCUAACUACAGCUUCAACUAGUGUGAGCUUCCCAGCAAACAUUGUACAAACACCUAAAAUUGAAACUGAAAAUGUUUUCUCAGAAACAACAAAAACAAAAACUUUUGAAGAAACUGAAAUAAGCUUUAUUCAAAAUGGAACAAGCAACUUGAUACAAAAGUCGUCAGUGAUAGUUCCAUCAUUGACUCCAAUCAGAACAACAGAGUAUCAAAACGUAACAAUUUCUAACAUUGAAACUAAAACCAGUGCAACUUCAACAUCUGAAACUAUUCAAGAAUAUUUUAAUAACUUAUUAUCAACAGAAAUAUUAGUACAACACGAAACUGAACAAAAUACAACUGAAAUAUAUAAAAAUACCACGCAAACCACAGAAACAACAGAAACACAAAAAGUUUCAGAAACAAAAAUGUUAGAAAUACUGAAAACGCCAGAAACCCUAGAAAUAUCAGAAGCAACACAAGCACAAGAACAGCUUGGAAUACUAAAAAUGUCAGAAGCACUAGAGAUGACCCAAACACCAGAAACAACAAAUACACUGGAAUCAUCAGAAACAAAAGGUACACAAGGAAUAUCGGAAGCAUCGGAAAUACCCGUAAAGCGGUACACACUUAAAAUAGCAAAAACGACAGAAUCAGCAGAAACUUCGCAAAUACCAGAAGUUUUAAUAACAAUAGAAGCACCACAAACAUCAGAAAUAACAAAAAUUAAAGAAAUACCUAAAGCAUUACAAACGCCAGAAACAUUAAAAGCAGUCACGCAUGUAAGAGCAAAGACACAAAAAACACGAAAAACGACGAAAGCUUCAGAAAUAUUAGAAAAAGCUAAAACACUGAAAGAAAUAAAAACAACAGGUGUACCUGAAAUAUCGCAAUCGCCACCAACAUUGGAAAUCACCGAAAUAAGGAAAACUCUAGAAUCACCAGAGACUACAGAAAUAGAGAAAAUAGAAACCAUAGCACCACUGGAAAUAACAAGUAAAUCAGAGAAAACCACACAAGAAAAAUCAAAAGCAACAGAAAUGUCACAAACAUCAGAAACGCUAGAAAUAUCAGAAAUAACACAACUAUCAGAAGAACUAGAAAUUACCGAAACCCAAGAAAAAACAGAAACAAAAGAAUCAGAAAUACAAAAACCGUCAGAAAUAUCUGCAACACCUGAAGCUCCAGAAUUUACUGUAAAAUCAAAUACAAUAACAAUAAACAAAGACACACCAGAAACCGCAGACACACCUGAAAUUUCAGAGCUACCAGAAACAUUAGAAACGGGAGAAACAGAAUUAUCAGAAACAGAAGAAGCAGAAGAAAUAUCAGAAGCUUCCGAAAUAUCAGUAAAGCCACAAACGCAAAAAAUGCCGGAAACAACAGAAAUACUUGAAAUACUAGCAUCAUCAGAAACACUAGAAACAUCGGAGAUCCCAGAAGUUCUAGUAACAUUAGAAAUACCACAAACAUCAGAGAGAUUAAAAGCAGCAAUAACACAAACAAUACAAGAAACAACAAAAGCUUCAGACAUAUCCGAAAGAGCUAAAACACUUAAAAAAUUAACAAAAAUUUCAGGUGUAACUGAAAUAUCCCAAUCGGAAGAAACAUUUAAAAUCGCAGAAAUAAUGGAAACGCCAGAAACAUCGGAAACCACAGGAAUACCGGAAAUGUUAGAAACAUCAGAAACACUGGAAAUAACAAAUAAAUCAGAAUCAGCUACACAAGAAGGAUCAGCACCAACACGAAUACUACAAACAUCAGAAACGCUAAAGAUAUUACAGCUAACACAAAUAUCACAGGUAGCCGAAAUAACGGAAACACCAAGAACAACAGAAACAAAAGAAUUAGUAGUAUCAGAAAUACAAAAGAUAUUAGAACUAUCUGAAACAUCACAAGCUCCAGAAAUUACUGUAAAAUACAAUACAAUAAAAAUAUCAGAAACAUCAAAAACGUCAGAAGCAACAGAAAAAAACAAAACACAAUCAACAAAUAUACAAGAAAUGUUAGAAAUAUCUGAAUCACUGGAACCUCCAAAAAUUACUGUAAAACCAAACAUAAUAGAGAUGGAAACAUCACAAACUGCAGAAACACCUGAAAUAUUAGAAUUUUCAAAAAUAUUGGAAAACAAAGAAACAAAAAAAAUGCAAAGAACAUCAGAAGCAUCCGAAAUAUCACCUGAAAUAUUAACAUCAUCAGAAACACUAGAAAUCUCAGAAAUACCAGAAAUUCUAGUAACAUUAGAAGUACCCGAAGUACAAACACCAGAAAUGCAAAACGUACAAGUAACAUCAAAGACUCAAGAUACAACAAAAGCUACAGAAAUAUCAGAAAGAGCUAAAACAUCAAACAAAAUAGCAAGAACAUCGGGUGUACCUGAAAUAUUACAAUCUCCAGAAACGCCGGAAAUCACGGAAAUGCUGGAAAUGUUAGAAUCAACAGAAACCACAGAUAUACCGGAAAUGCCAGAAACACCAGAAAUACUGGAAAUGACCAAUAAAUCAGGAACCACACAAGAAGAAUCAGAAGUAACAGAAAUACUACAAGUAUCAGAAAUACUAGAAAUAACGGAAACAGUAAAAAUAAAAGAAUCAGGAUUACCAGAAAUAGAAGAAUCAUCAACAAUAUUUGAAACACCGGAAGCUCCAGAAAUUACUGCAAAACCAAGUACAAUAGAAAUAGAAACAUCAGAAACUGCUGAAAUACCUGAAAUAACAGAAUUUUCAGAUAUAUUAGAGACUGCAGUAACAGAAGAAAUGCAAGGAACAUCAGAAGUAUCCAAAAUAUUAGUAAAUCUACAAACACUAAAAAUGGCGGAAGCAACAGAAAUACCUGAAAUAUUUACAUCAUCAGAAACACUAGAAACCUCGGAAAUACCAGAAAUUCUAGUAACAUUAGAAGUACCACAAACAAUAGAAACGCAAAUCAUACAGGAAACAUCAAGACCUCAAGAAACAACAAAUGCUUCAGAAAUAUCAGAAAGAGUUAAAACAUUAAAUAAAAUAACAAAAACAUCAAGUGUAACUAAAAUGUCACAAUCUCCAGAAACGUUGGAAAUAGCUCAAAUAACGGAAAUUCAAGAAACACCAGAAACUACAGAAAUACUGGAAAUACUAGAAACAUCAGAAAUACUGGCAAUAACAAAUAGAUCAGAAAAAACCACACAAGAAAAAUCAAAAGUAACAGAAGUAUUUCGAACAUCAAAAGUACUAAAAAUAAUGAAAACGCCAGAAACAACAGAAACAAAAGAAUUAAAAUUAUCAAAAACACAUGAAACGUCAGGAAUAUCAGAGGCAACAGAAAUUACUGUAAAUCCGAAUACAAUAAAAGUAGCAGAAUCCUCAGAAACUGCACAAACACCGGAAAUAUCAGAAGUACCAAAUAUAUUAAAAACCACCGAAACACAAGAAAAGCUGCAAGGACUAGAACUAACAAAAACAUCAAAACUACCACAAAUAAAAUCUACAGCAGAAGUAUUAGAAACACCACAAACAACUGAGACACUAAAAAUACCAGAAACAACAAAAUCCAUAAAAAUUCCAGUAACACUAAAUACACAAGAAUCACCGGAAACACAGAAUAUACAAAAAACAUCGGAAGUACCAGAAACACCACAGACACAGACAAAAAUAACACAAACGUUAAAAACACUUGAAAUAUCAGAAUCACCAGAAACACAAGAAACAUCAGAGGCAUCUAAGGCGCCGAAAACAGUAGAAAUACCAAUAAAGAUAUACACACCUAAAAUAACAGAAACAUCGGAAACAUUAGAACCAUUAGAAACAUCAGAAAUGUCAGAAACGUUAGAAACAACAAAAACAACAGAAGGAACAGAAACGUCAGAAACAUCAGAAAUAGCAAAACCAUUAGAAAUAUUGGAAAUAUUAGACACACUGGAACCAUCAGAAUCAUCAGAAAAUUCAGAAUCAUUAGAAACUUCAGAAAUAUCGGAUCAAUCAGAAUCUUCAGAAAUAUUACAACCCUCAGACACAUUAGGACUAUCAGAAACAUUAGAACUAUCGGAAACAUUAGAACCAUUAGAACCAUUAGGAACAUCAGCAAUAUCAAAAACAUCAGAAAUAUCAGAAACAACAGAAAUAUUAGUAUCAUUCGAAAUAUUAGAACCAUCAGACACAGAAUCGUCAUUAGAAACAUCAGAACCAUCAGAAAAAUUAGAAACAACAAAUACGUCAGAAAAAUCAGAAACAUCAGAAAUAUUAGAACCAUUAGAUACAUUAGAACCAUCAGAAACAUUAGAAACAGAAACAUCAGAAACAUCACAAACAUCAGAAGCAUCAGAAACAUCAGAAAUAUUAAAAUCAUUCGAAGUGAUAGAACCAUCAGACACAGAACCAUCAGAAACAUUAGAAACAUCAGAACCAUCAGAACCAUCAGAAAAAUCAGAAACAACAAAAACGUCAGAAAAAUCAGAAACUUCAGAAUCCUCAGAAACAUUAGAACCGUCAGACACAUUAGAAACAUCAGAAACAUUAGAACCAUUAGAACCAUCAGAAACAUCAGAACUACCAAAAACAUCAGAAACAUCACAAACAUUUGAAUUAUUCGAAAUAUUAGAACCAUCAGACACAGAACCAACAGAAAUGUCAGAUACAGAAACAUUAGAACCAUCAGAAAUAUUAGAACUAUUAGAACCAUCAGAAAUAUCAGAAAUAUUAGAAAUAUCAGAAACGUCAGAAACAUCAGAAAUAGCAAAAUCAUUAGAAAUAUUUGAAAUAUCAGACACAAUGGAACCAUCAGAAUCAUCAGAAAAUUCAGAAAUAACAGAAAUUUCAGAAAUAUCGGAAAUAUCAGCAUCUUCAGAAAUGUUACAACCCUCAGACACAUUAGGACUAUCAGAAACAUUAGAACCAUCGGAAACAUUAGAAUCAUUAGAACCAUUAGGAACAUCAACAACAUCAGAAACAUCAAAAAUAUCAGAAACAACAGAAAUAUUAGUAUCAUUCGAAAUAUUAGAACCAUCAGACACAGAAUCAUCAUUAGAAACAUCAGAAACAUCAGAAAAAUUAAAAACAACAAAUACGUCAGAAAUAUCAGAAACAUCAGAAAUAUUAGAACCAUUAGACACAUUAGACCAAUCAGAAACAUUAGAAACAGAAACAUCAAAAACAUCAGAAGCAUCAGAAGCAUCAGAAACAUCAGAAAUAUUAAAAUCAUUCGAAGUGAUAGAACCAUCAGACACAGAACCAUCAGAAACAUUAGAACCAUCAGAACCAUCAGAACCAUCAGAAAAAUCAGAAACAACAAAAACGUCAGAAAAAUCAGAAACAUCAGAAUCCUCACAAACAUUAGAACCGUCAGACACAUUAGAAACAUCAGAAACAUUAGAACCAUUAGAACCAUCAGAAAUAUCAGAACUACCAGAAACAUCACAAACAACAAAAAUGUCAGAAAUAUCAGAAACAUCAGAAAUAUCAGAAACAUCAGAAACAUCGCAAACAUUUGAAUUAUUCGAAAUAUUAGAACCAUCAGACACAGAACCAACAGAAACGUCAGAUACAGAAACAUGGGAAACGAUAAAAGCACAAGAAAUGUCAGAAAUACCAGAAACAUCACAAACACUAGAAAUACUAGAAACAUAUGAAAUACCAGGAGCGCAGGUAACAUUAGGAUCAUCAAAAAUGCAAGAAAAUGAAGGUAUAUCAGAAGCCCCAGAAAAAUUAGGAGCUACAGAUGGUCACGAAAAAAAAUUGAUAGUUAAAAUAUCAGAAACAUCAGAGGCACUAGAAAGUUCCAUAACUUCUUCCGAAGGAGCAUAUAUUAGUAGCGUACACUCCGGAAAAAUUGAGCUUACAGGUACCUCUACUGAACUAUAUUACCACACGGAAAAUGCUUCAGAAUUAGUGGAGAGCGCAGAGACAAACUUUACUUCUGAAGAGAGUAGUGACACAAAACACAUAACUGAAACACCGGCUGAAACGUCAAAUCAGAGUGAAAGUUUUGAUACUGACGAAAAUUUUGAAAACGAACAAAUGAACAUUACAAGUCCUGAACAGAAAGUAAUUACAAAUUCUGAGAUAACAAAACGUGAAGUACAAAACACAAAACCAACAACAUAUAUUGAAGUAUCCGAAGAAGACAAUACAACCUUAGCCGAAACUAUCACAUCAUCUUCUAAAAGCAGUUUUUAUGGAAGUACAGCAACAACUGAAAACAAGAUGACACGUGAAACUGCUACUAUAAAGAUGAAAGGACAAACCGAAAUUCUAAUAGCUGCAGAAGAAAGUACAGCAGCUUCGUGGAAAUACAUAACAUCCACUUUCCAAGAUAUGCCAAUUACAUCAUCUCCAGAGAAACUAGCAACUCAAACUCUAGCAACAACUAUAGAAGUUUCAACUGAAAUGAUUCCACGAACGGAAGUAGGAGUUAGUUCUGUUAUUACAACAGAAACAGAAGAAGUCUCCAUUCAAGAAGUUACACCAAGCAGAGAAGAAGAAACUAUAUCUGACAAACUAAAACUAACUGAUGAAACAGAACCUACUACAGUUUUACUAGUGACUGAAGAGAGUAGUACUGUUCAUAGAAUUACAGAAGAAAUAAGUAGCAACAUAUUAUCUGAACCAACCAUUAUUCAGGAAGUUGUAAAUAAAACUCUAGCAGAAACUACAACAUUACCUUCUGAAAACAGUCAUUUGUAUAAAACUUUAGGAAAAACUGAAAAAAUGACAACUGAAUAUGCUACUCUAGAAAUAGAAGAACAAUCUGAAAUCCCAAUAACGACAGAAGAAAAUAGUGCCAUUUCAUGGAAAUACUCUUUUCAAGAUAUAUCAGAGAUACUAGCUACUACAACUGUAGAAAUAAGUAGGGAAGUUCCAACUCAAAUUACUCCUAGUACAGAAGUAAUAGUUAGUUCUGUUAUCACAAAAACAAAAGCACAGGAAGUCUCCAUUCAAGAAGCUACACCCAGCAGAGAAGAAGGAACUAUAUCUGACAAACUAAAACUAACUGAUGAAACAGAACCUACUACAAUUUUACGAGUGACUGAAGAGAGUAGUACUGUUCAUAGAAUUACAGAAGAAAUAAGUAGCAACAUAUUAUCUGAACCAACCAUUAUUCAGGAAGUUGUAAAUAAAACUCUAGCAGAAACUACAACAUUACCUUCUGAAAACAGUCAUUUGUAUAAAACUUUAGGAAAAACUGAAAAAAUGACAACUGAAUAUGCUACUCUAGAAAUAGAAGAACAAUCUGAAAUCCCAAUAACGACAGAAGAAAAUAGUGCCAUUUCAUGGAAAUACUCUUUUCAAGAUAUAUCAGAGAUACUAGCUACUACAACUGUAGAAAUAAGUAGGGAAGUUCCAACUCAAAUUACUCCUAGUACAGAAGUAAUAGUUAGUUCUGUUAUCACAAAAACAAAAGCACAGGAAGUCUCCAUUCAAGAAGCUACACCCAGCAGAGAAGAAGGAACUAUAUCUGACAAACUAAAACUAACUGAUGAAACAGAACCUACUACAAUUUUACGAGUGACUGAAGAGAGUAGUACUGUUCAUAGAAUUACAGAAGAAAUAAGUAGCAACAUAUUAUCUGAACCAACCAUUAUUCAGGAAGUUGUAAAUAAAACUCUAGCAGAAACUACAACAUUACCUUCUGAAAACAGUCAUUUGUAUAAAACUUUAGGAAAAACUGAAAAAAUGACAACUGAAUAUGCUACUCUAGAAAUAGAAGAACAAUCUGAAAUCCCAAUAACGACAGAAGAAAAUAGUGCCAUUUCAUGGAAAUACUCUUUUCAAGAUAUAUCAGAGAUACUAGCUACUACAACUGUAGAAAUAAGUACGGAAGUUCCAACUCAAAUGACUCCUAGUACAGAAGUAAUAGUUAGUUCUGUUAUCACAACAACAAAAGCAGAGGAAGUCUCCAUUCAAGAAGCUAUACCCAGCAAAGAAGAAGAAACUUUUUCUGAAAAACUAAAACUUACUGAAGAAACAGAAAUCACUACGAUUUUACCAGUGACUGAAGAGAGUAGUAGUACCGCUCACAUAAUUACUGAAGAAAUAAGUAGCAAAAUGCCAACAGAACCAACCAUUUUUCACGAAGUUGUAAAUACAACCCUAAAAGAAAUUACAACAUUGUCUUCUGAAAGCAGUCAUUUAUAUAAGACUACAGAAAUAACUGAAAAUCAAAUGAUAACUGAAAAUGCUACUAUAGAGAUAGAGGAACAAUCUGAAAUACCAAUCACGACAGAAGAAAAUGUAGGCAUUUCGUGGAAAUACACAACACUUACUUUUCAGGAUAUGUCAGAGAUACCAGCUACUAUAACUGUAGAAACUAUUACGGAAGUUUCAACUGAAAUGACUCCUAGCACAGAAGUAGUAAUUAGCUCUGUUAUCACAACAACACAAGAACAGGAAGUCUCCAUUCAAGAAAUUACUCCCAGCAAAGAGGAACAAACUAUUUCUGAUGAACCAAAAUUAACUGAACAAACAGAAACUACUACAAUUUUACUAGGAAAUGAAGAGAGUAGUACUGUUCACAAAAUUACAACAGAAAUAAGUAGCAAAACGUCAACUGAACCAACCGUUGUCCACGAAGCUGUAAAUACAACCCUAGCACAAACUACAACAUUAUCUUCUGAAAGCAGUUAUGUAUAUAAGACUACAGGAACAGCUGAAAAUAAAAUGACGACUAAAAACACUAUUACAGAAAGAGAAGAACAAUUUGAAAUAGUAAAAGAAAUGUCAGAGAUACUAUCUACUUCUACCGUAGAAACAAGUGUAGAAAUUUCAACUGAAAUGACUCCUAUUACAGAAGUUGUUGUUAGUUCUGUUGGCACAAAGACAAAAGCAGAGGAAGUCUCUAUUCAAGAAGUUACAUUCAGCAAAGAAGAAGAAACUAUUUCUAAAGAACCAGAAUUAACUGCUAAAAUAAAAACUACUACAAAUUUAAUAGUGCCUGAAGAGAGCAGUAGUUUUCAUAGAAUAACAGAAGAAAUAAGUAGCGAAAUGACAACUGAAAAUGUCACCACAGAGAAAAAAGAAAGAUCGAAAAUGCCAAUAGUGACAGAAAAAAAUAUUGACAUUACAGAUAAAUAUACAACAAAACCAAAUAUUUUACCGAAAGCUCUCAGUACAUUGUUUUCCGAAAUACUAGCUCCUUCAGCUAAAGAAUCAAUCACAGACGCUUCAGCUGACAACAUUACUAGUACCGAAAUAAAAUCUAAAGCUAAGAGUACACCGAAAGAAAUUAAAGAGUCUACAAAGUUAGGAUCUGCUACAACAGAGUCGGAAACAAUUUCUCUUGCAAAAACAGAUACUACUACAAUAGAAACUACAGAGGCUUCAAAUGAAAUAAUAAAGUUACCUUGUGAAGAUUUCUUAGUAACCUUGAAAGAAGUUAGUUCAGCGAGUACGCAAUCGACUGAACUAUCUUCAGAGGAAAGUAUUCCAAUUGAAAUGUUACCUGAAGAAGAAAACAUAGAUAUUACCGAACAAGUAGCUGAAUCGUAUUCUGCUGCAGACAAUCGAGAUGCUACCGAAGAAAUACAACGAUAUGUGACGAAGAAAAAUGUAAAUGGGGAGAAAAUUAAACAUGUGAUGGUUCCUUUAGACGAUUCAGUUACAGCAACGAAAUCUACAAAAACAGUUGUGAUAAUAGUUAAUAAUUCUGGUAAGCGGCUUCACAAAUUAAAUGAAACAACCUUGGAAAAACUGGUGAACAAGACAAUAGAUGAAGUGAAUUUAGAGUAUAUUGACCUGAAUAAUAUAUCGCAGGGAGCGGAGAUAAAUAAUAACUCUGAGAAGGCUGAACUUGAUAUUCCUGACAUCUUGAAAGGCGAUGGAAAACUUUGUACAAAGUCUGAGUUCAAUGCUAGUCGAUACUGUCCCUGUGACGUCGAUUCCUAUGUAAAAACGUUACAAACGAAAGUAGAUAACAACACAGACACCUCAACCGUAAGCUGUCCAAAAAUGAUAAGUUUUCAUGACGGAUUUCUGAUUACAAAUAAAACUGAACCUCUUAGAAGAAAGAAGAGGAGCUUGUUAUAUCUGAGCAAUGUUGAUAAAGGGUCAAAUGUUCUAGAAAACGAUAAUAUAGAAGAUGUGUUGGACAAAGAUUAUGAAUUAACAAAUUCAGGGCCAAAUGUGUUGGUAUAUCCGAACAAAAAAGCAAGAAUAUAUUGUAUAAAUGAAGCUGAUAGACUUUUGGAUUCAAAGGAUGUAACUUUUAAGUGGGAAUAUACUAAAGAUAAUGAAGGAAAAGGUGAACUUCUGCCGUUUUCCGAGAAUCCUUUAGUUAUUCAAAACGCAGACGAGAAAACUGCUGGAAACUACACUUGCACCAAAAUCAAAAAGGAAAAUAUGGAAAAUUAUACACACGAGAUGCAGCUGAUAACAUUUCCGGUAUAUAAAAUUCAACUUGAAAUAUUGUAUUGGAUUAACGAUAGCUGUUCCUUACAAACCGGCGAUAUUUUAUUUGGAUAUUUGCCAAAAAUAAUUGGCCCUGUACUCUGUGGCGGUAACGGAAGAUUGUGUCACGUGGAUAUCGGGAGACCACGUUGUUUUACCAAAGAGGACAACACAUAUUUUAAAGUAUCUGUGACAGCUACGAUGAACGACAUUCACGAAAUUUUACCCACAACAAACGAUGACAAUUGCAACUUGAAUUGCAGAUUUAAGGCAUAUACAAAUAUUAUCUACCUGGUUAAUAAGAACGCAAAAAUUGUUACAAGCAUUCCAAUUCUCUUUUAUAGUACAUACAAGACUUGAUACUGAUCUGGACUUUCUGACCAAUAUAACGACAGUAACAAACAAGCCAUCAAAGCUUAUAACUACUUGCAGAGGAGGCUAUGGAAUUGAAAAAUUUAAACAAAGAGUAUGUGUUAUUUGUCCGAAACAUACCUUUAGUCCAAUUGAUGAAGCGUUUUGUAAAAUUUGUCCUGCAGGACAAUACCAGCCCCAUCCGGGUUCACAGAACUGUAUCCCGUGUCUUUCCCCACUUGACGAUACAAUGUGUCUCAG
rnacentral:misc_RNA from 1 species